rnacentral:lncRNA from 1 species
UAAACUCUAUUAAGAUUGAAUACCAAAUUAUCAAAACGCAUAUCAAUGUUUCAUGGCCCGAUCAUACGAAUAUAUAUCUAUACACAUAAAUUUAUCCAAACAUUAAGAUUACAAAAAAGAUACGUAAAACAUUGAUAAACAGCACGGAUUAAAAAACAUCUCAUGCCUCCUUGUAUUAUUACAAUUACAACAAAUCAAAAAAUAGUAAUAAAUAUAAUAGAGAUGAUUUUGUUACAAUGGCCAGAAGUGCUUCUUAUAAUAAAAGAAAUUCGCGAUGCUUUACUUCACUUGAACCCUUUGCUAAAAGUGAUAAUUGUUAAAGAUCUAAUUGAAAUUGUAGCUUCACGAAGGGUAAAAUUGUAGUAAAACAAAGGGGAAAUUGAUGGAUUAAGAGGCUCAGAAUAAAAAACUAAAAAUACAAACCAAUCGACUCUAUAACAAUAUUAAUUUGUAACUGAAACCUUUAGUUUUACUUCAUUUUUUCUAACCACGUGAUCCAUGUCUUUACAAAAUCCUUUAGUUUUUCCCUUUAUAUAGCACCAAAGUGAGUCCAGAUGAUGGAUACUUGAUUUCCUCCUUGUCACCAAUUGGUAGCAAACUACCAGCUUUUGAAACACUUCAUUCUUUCAAGUAUCUUUUCCUAUUUACCAUCAAAGACAUUUAGAAGAUCAACUUUCCCCUGUUUGGAUUCAAUAUUUUGAAUUUAUGUCAAAUAUAUAUAUAUAUAUANAUAUAUAUAAUUCAAAUUAUAAGGUAUGAAGAAUUUUAUAGAUAACCCAUGUGGUAAAGGGGGAAGCACAUUAAAAUAUUAAACUGCACCUUUUAUUGUUGUAGGCUUCAAAAUUCCAGGUCUAAUAUGGACCAUAAAAGAUUCAUAAGUAAAAGAUGUAGAAAGUGCAUUUAUCUAAAAUUGAAAUUUAUCUGCAAAGAAAAAAACCAUAAAAUUAAAUACAUAUGAACCAUAACAGAACCAUCAUAUUAUUAAUAAGACACUAACAUAUAGAAAUCAAUCUUUAUAUAGAUUAUCAUUCAAUGAACUCAUAAUCAAUAUCAAAUUUCAAUAUAAGCCUAAACAAACGAACUGAAAAACAAACAUUUGCUUCUAGUUUUCCAUACCUAAACCUAAAGAAUUAGACGAAAUAGCAUGUUAAUAAAUGUUUUCUCCAAUAAUAUGACUUUAAGGUAGAAAUCCUUCAUGUAUUCAGGUUUCCACUUUCUAGGUCGUAAGAUUUCAGACUUGAGUUUUUCUAAAGAAAAUAUUUUUAUUCAAAAGUAAUAUACCUACAAUCGGAUCUGGAGAAGAAAUCCAUCAAUGAACAUAAAAUCAGACUUGCAUCCAUUCAUCACCAAAAUCAAAAUCGUAUCGUUGUUAAUUGAUGGAAACGUCACCAAAAGAAGUAGAAAAAAUCGAACUUGUAAAUGGUGGUGGGAUCGAAAGCAGCAAACAAAACCCUAACAAAAUUAUUUUAUCUUCAAAAAAGCCCAAUAAGAUAGAUAUGUAGAUAUGCAUUCCUAUGUGGAUAUAUUAAGAAACCUAACAACAAAAAACCCAAAAUAAAGUUUUCUCACGUACUUCUUACGAUCCAGUUACCGACAUCACCAAAACAUCCCAUGGACUUCACAGGAACAUGUUUGAUUGUGGUGAGGCUAGGGUUUCCUGAGAUUUUGAGUGACAAACAUACAAAACUUUAGAGCAUAAUAUAAGAGAAUAGAGAGGUUCGAGAUUCUUGCCUAGAAAAUCAUAAAUAAGGUGCUUGGCGGUGAAUCGAUGCAGAUGGUAUAGGGAUCUAGAUCAAUAUUCAUGAAAUCGACAUGGUGGAGAGAGAAGCAAUGGUGUUUAGAAAAUGAAGCAUCUCCAUUUGUUCCUCUGCUUGUGUACCUCUCCAUUCCAUCGUUUUUUAUUCCAAGGUUUAGUCUAGGGUUAUAGGAGAGAAAACAUGAGAGAACCGAAUCAAAAUUACCAUUAUGAGGGAGUGUAUGGGAAAUUGGAAAUGCUAGAUCUUUAAGUGUAUAUAGAGAAUUUGGGAUAUAAGUUUCAAUUUUAGUUUUAAAAUUUAAAGUGUUGACAUUGAUUAGUUAUGCAUAUAAUUAGGACGACGAAUUCAAAAUUUGCUAAGCAACAGGUGUAGGUACUCGUUAUACACGGAAAAAGAUAAAAAUCUUUAAACUGCACCUUUUAUUUGUGUUUGUUUUCACUUUAUUCAAGUUUAGGCAUAAAUUACAGAUGCGGUCACAGAAAAGUAAUAUGACUGUAGUUUAU